AUGCCUACAGAUUCUCUAUCUCCUAGAGCAGAGUCAUUCCUAAUGGUAGAGGGCCAGUUAAUCCAGAAGGGGUGCAGUAUUAUAAUAACUAGAUCAAUGAACUCAAGAAAUAUGGAAUUGAACCUCAUGUCACUCUUCUUCACUUUGACCUCCCCCAAUCUUUGGAAGAUGAAUAUUCUGGACUCUUGAGCCCAAAGAUUGUAGAGGACUUCACUGCUUAUGCUGAUGUGUGCUUUAGAGAGUUUGGGGAUAGAGUGAAAUACUGGAUCACUGUCAAUGAGCCAAACAUUGAACCCAUCCUUGGCCAUGAUCUGGGAAUAUUUCCACCAAAUCACUGCUCUUCCUCCUUGGCCUCUUCCCUUGGCCUCAAUUGCAGCAAAGGGAAUUCAUCUGUUAAACCAUAUGUAGCUGGUCAUAACCUUUUGCUUUCCCAUGCAUCAGCAGUCUCCCUAUACAGAAAGAAAUAUCAGCCAAAUCAAGGGGGAUAUAUUGGAAUUACCUUACUAGGGAUCUGGUUUGAGCCAGCUACAAGAUUACCA